rnacentral:ncRNA from 1 species
GAACUCUGGAGAAGCUCCGCGCACCGGCGCCCGUUCCGGUUUGCCUGCGGAGUGCCGAAGGUGCAAGGCCCAUGGGUCGAAUCUCUCAGGCAAAAGGACAGAGCGU